rnacentral:tRNA from 1 species
AGCCCUGUAGUGAGCUACACGUCAAAUUGCAAAUUUGAAAGGGCCCCAUUCCUGG